rnacentral:rRNA from 1 species
GACGAACGCUGGCGGCGUGCCUAAUACAUGCAAGUCGAACGAGAGAGACCGGUGCUUGCACUGGUCAAUCUAGUGGCGAACGGGUGAGUAACACGUGGGUAACCUGCCCAUCAGAGGGGGAUAACAUCCGGAAACGGAUGCUAAAACCGCAUAGGUCUUCGAGCCGCAUGGCUUGAAGAGGAAAAGAGGCGCAAGCUUCUGCUGAUGGAUGGACCCGCGGUGCAUUAGCUAGUUGGUGAGGUAACGGCUCACCAAGGCCGUGAUGCAUAGCCGACCUGAGAGGGUGAACGGCCACAUUGGGACUGAGACACGGCCCAAACUCCUACGGGAGGCAGCAGUAGGGAAUCUUCCGCAAUGGACGCAAGUCUGACGGAGCAACGCCGCGUGAGUGAAGAAGGUUUUCGGAUCGUAAAACUCUGUUGUUAGAGAAGAACAAGUGCUAGAGUAACUGUUAGCGCCUUGACGGUAUCUAACCAGAAAGCCACGGCUAACUACGUGCCAGCAGCCGCGGUAAUACGUAGGUGGCAAGCGUUGUCCGGAUUUAUUGGGCGUAAAGCGAGCGCAGGCGGUUCCUUAAGUCUGAUGUGAAAGCCCCCGGCUCAACCGGGGAGGGUCAUUGGAAACUGGGGAACUUGAGUGCAGAAGAGGAGAGUGGAAUUCCAUGUGUAGCGGUGAAAUGCGUAGAUAUAUGGAGGAACACCAGUGGCGAAGGCGACUCUCUGGUCUGUAACUGACGCUGAGGCUCGAAAGCGUGGGUAGCAAACAGGAUUAUAUACCCUGGUAGUCCAAGGGCGAAUUCCACAGUGGAUAUCAAGCUUAUCGAUACCGUCGACCUCGAGAGAGGGGCCCGGUACCCAGCUUUUGUUCCCGUUAUGGGGUUAAUUAACUGUGUGUGUGUUUGAAUAUGAUGUGCUGUAUGUGUGUUGAUUGUGUGUGUGGUCUUGUGUGUUGAUGCUGUGUGUGGUGUUGUUGAUGUGUGAGUGAUGUUGUGCUGGAUGUGCGUGCUGUGUUGUGUGCUAUGAGUUGUCCGUGUUGACGCUGUGUAGC